UUAUUAUAAAAGAUAUCAUGUCUAAAGUAAAUACAUUGUACAAUUACUUCACGUCACCGAAAACUCCGAAACAAACGAAUAACAAACCGGUACCGGCUGAAAAACCUUCAACACCGAAAAGCAGUAAGGAACAAAAGAACAAAGCCAAAACUCCAAGCAAAGGGAAAGAAAAUAAGAAUGUUGAGGAUAGAAAAAGAGUUUACAAAGAAGAUGACGAGAAUGAAGAAGAAGAAAAUGAACCAGUUAGACCAAAGAAACGAAGGUUAAUUAUUCCUGAUGUUGAUUCUGGAGAUGAUACUGGGGAUGAGUUCAAGCCUGAGAAUGAAUCAGAAGAGUCUGAUUCUGGAUCUGAAGGAGUUACUGAAAGUGAACCAGAGACUGUAAGCGAAGAAGAAUCACCAGAGAAAAAAAGAAAAGUUUCUAAUAAUAGUAGAGGUAGGCAGGGAGCAAGGACAAAAAAGAAUGGUAAAGAAGAUAAGAAGGAGUCAAAACUGUCUCAACAAAAUCAAACACAGAGUUCAAACAAUGUUGUGGAAUCUUGGCCACAUUUAAAAUAUGAUUUCUUGCAACCAAAUAAGAUACGGGACAUCAAUAGAAAACCUUUGAGUGAUCCAGACUAUGAUCCUAAAACUGUUUAUGUUCCCCAGGACUUUUUGAAUCAGCAGACUCCGGCAAUGAGGCAGUGGUGGGAAUUGAAAAGUAAACAUUACGAUUGCGUUCUUUUCUUUAAAGUAGGAAAGUUUUAUGAAUUGUACCACAUGGACGCUGUUGUUGGGGUCAAUGAACUUAAUCUGACAUAUAUGAGGGGUGAAUUUGCACACUCUGGGUUUCCUGAAAUCGGCUACGGUCGUUUCUCUGCAAGUCUUAUAGAGAAAGGAUAUAAAGUAGCCAGGGUAGAGCAAACUGAGAACCCAGAAAUGAUGGCACAACGUUGUAGUAAAAUGCACAGACCAACAAAAUUCGAUAAAGUUGUUAAAAGGGAAAUUUGUCAGAUAAGUACCAGGGGUACAAGAGCAUACACUGCAUUGGAUGUAGAAGCAUCAACGCCGAAUUCCAAUUACCUUUUAUCGCUUAUUGAGAAAUGCCAAUCUGGUUCAAACACGUCCCAUUACGGAGUUUGCUUUUUGGACACUACGAUAGGAGAUUUUUACCUUGGACAAUUUGAAGACGAUCGUUGCAGUUCUAGGCUGUUGACUUUACUUGCUCACUAUCCACCUGUUCACGUCGUGUACGAACGUGGAAAUUUAUCUCAAAAGACAUUGAAAAUCUUAGACAAUACUUUAGCGGCAUGUAUGAAAGAACCUCUGUUACGCGAAUCACAAUUUUGGUCUUCCUCGACUACGUUGAAAAAUCUUCAUGAAGGAGACUAUUUCAAAAAAUCAGACUCAGAAUUUUCAUGGCCUGAAGGUUUACGACCAUACCUUAAUGAGGGAGACAGUUUAGGUUUAACUCCAGCUGAUGAUAAAGAGCUAGCAGUACACGCUCUAGGAGGAUGCAUAUAUUUGCUUAAAGACUAUUUCCUGGAACAACAAUUACUGGCACAAGGUCGAUUCAAGUCCUACACUCCACCAGAUUUCUUAGAGGAUGGCAGCUCUACGUCUUCUAAGUUUGCGAAUAAUAUGAUCCUAGACGCAAUCACUAUUAACAACUUGAGAAUUUUCGGUGACGGAUCUUUAAUGAAAACGCUAGAUCGUUGUUGCACCGCUUUUGGAAAAAGGUUGUUACGUGAAUGGAUAUGUAGACCAUCCUGUCGGAAAAACGUCAUACUUGAGCGUCAGGAAGCCAUACAAGAAUUAAUGGAUCAUUCAGAAACUGUACAGUCUGCACGUAGUAUGCUAGCUACUCUCCCUGAUCUUGAAAGACUAUUGAGCAAGAUACACGCUCAAGGAAAUGCAGCACGAUUAAAUAAUCAUCCUGAUGGCAGAGCAAUUAUGUUCGAGGGUCAAACCUAUUCUAAAAGGAAAAUUUUAGAUUUCACUACUACACUCAACGGCUUCGAGGAAGCAUUAAAAAUAGUUGCUUUAUUUGAAGAUUUUAAUACCGCUUUAAUUACGAGGUGCACUAAAAUUGAACCGGAUGGCGAAUUUCCUUCAUUAAGAGAGACUCUAGAUUAUUUCAAGACUGCUUUCGACCAUGAAGAGGCCAAAAAAGUAGGUUGUAUCGUACCAAAAAAAGGAGUCGAUGCCGAAUAUGAUUCUGUUUUAAUGGAACUAUCAGAUGUAAAGAAAGACGCGGAACAGUAUCUUGAAAAGCAGAAACAACAUUUUGGUGUGAAAGUUACGUUUUUCGGAAGCGAUAAGAAACGUUACCAGAUUGAAAUCCCUGACUCCCAAGUCAAGAAAGUUGGAUCAGGAUAUGAAUUAACGUCGCAGAGGAAAGGAUAUAAGCGUUAUUACACCGCUGAGGCAAAGGAACUCUUAAGCCGACAAAUAGCUGCCGAGGAACAUAAAGAUAAAGUAUUAAAGGACUUGAACAGGAGAAUAUUUGCGCAAUUUAGCGAGAAAUAUGACAUGUGGAGUGCAGCUGUUUACAAAUUGUCCAUCUUGGACGUACUCAUUUCGUUAGCAGAGUAUGCUCUCAGCGGUGACAUGUGUGUACCAGAAAUUGUUAGCGAUACAGAUGGAGAGAUAUUUAUUGAAAUUCGAGAUGGACGGCAUCCGUGCAUUCUUUCGGACUCCUUCAUACCAAAUGAUACUUUAUUGGGAAUUGGAGAUUCUGCUUCUUUCAUGAUCUUAACUGGACCAAAUAUGGGUGGUAAAUCAACACUUAUGCGUCAGGUUGCGCUUCUUACAAUAAUGACACAAAUUACCGUAUAUUCACGAGACUGGGAGCGAACGAUGAUAUUCUGGCUGGUCAGAGUACAUUCUUAGUAGAGCUAAGUGAAACUGCAGCAAUAUUGCAACACGCUACACCGUACUCGUUGGUUUUGCUCGACGAGUUAGGACGUGGUACAUCGACGUAUGAUGGAACUGCGAUAGCCGCUUCGGUUGUGGAUGCGCUUACAAAAUUAAAAUGUCGUACAUUAUUCUCAACGCAUUACCAUUCUUUAGUGGAAGACUACAAAAACAAGAAGGACAUUACAUUAGCUCAUAUGGCGUGUAUGGUAGAAAACG
rnacentral:misc_RNA from 1 species